UUUUCAUACAAUCCCCAAAGUUAAGCAACAUCGAGCCUGGUUCGUACUCAGAUAGGUGACCAACUGGGAAUACCAGGUGUUGUAAU